rnacentral:misc_RNA from 1 species
GAUGAAGAACGUAGCGAAAUGCGAUAACUAAUGUGAAUUGCAGAAUUCCGUGAAUCAUCGAGUCUUUGAACGCACAUUGCGCCCCCUGGUAUUCCGGGGGGCAUGCCUGUCCGAGCGUCAUUACAACCCUCAAGCCCGGCUUGUGUAAUGGGCGGCCGUCUCUCCCCCCGGGGGGAGACGCCCCCGAAACUCAGUGGGGAUGUCGCGAUACCGAAGCCUCAGCUAAUGGGUAAACCACAGCUGCAAUGGCCGCGGCCGGCGUCCGCCUUCCACGGUCCGUCCGCCUAGCGCGGGCGGCCUUCUCAAGGUUGACCUCGGAUCAGGUAGGGAUACCCGCUGAACUUAAGCAUAUCAAUAAGCGAGGA